GAUGAACGCUGACAGAAUGCUUAACACAUGCAAGUCGAACGAGCGAGAGAGAGUUUGCUUUCUCGAGCGAGUGGCGAACGGGUGAGUAACGCGUGAGGAACCUGCCUCAAAGAGGGGACAACAGUUGGAAACGACUGCUAAUACCGCAUAAGCCCACAGCUCGGCAUCGAGCAGAGGGAAAAGGAGUGAUCCGCUUUGAGAUGGCCUCGCGUCCGAUUAGCUGGUUGGUGAGGUAACGGCCCACCAAGGCGACGAUCGGUAGCCGGACUGAGAGGUUGAACGGCCACAUUGGGACUGAGACACGGCCCAG
rnacentral:rRNA from 1 species